rnacentral:rRNA from 1 species
GACGAACGCUGGCGGCGUGCUUAACACAUGCAAGUCGAACGGUGAUGCUCCAGCUUGCUGGAGUGGAUCAGUGGCGAACGGGUGAGUAACACGUGAGCAACCUGCCCCAGACUCUGGAAUAAGCGCUGGAAACGGCGUCUAAUACUGGAUACGAAACUGGCCCGCAUGGGCAUGGUUUGGAAAGUUUUUCGGUUUGGGAUGGGCUCGCGGCCUAUCAGCUUGUUGGUGAGGUAAUGGCUCACCAAGGCGACGACGGGUAGCCGGCCUGAGAGGGCGACCGGCCACACUGGGACUGAGACACGGCCCAGACUCCUACGGGAGGCAGCAGUGGGGAAUAUUGCACAAUGGGCGAAAGCCUGAUGCAGCGACGCCGCGUGAGGGAUGACGGCCUACGGGUUGUAAACCUCUUUCAGCAGGGAAGAAGCGAAAGUGACGGUACCUGCAGAAGAAGCACCGGCUAACUACGUG